rnacentral:lncRNA from 1 species
AGUGAGUCUUUGUGACGCUAUUACCUUGAAAAAUGUGAUCUUACUACCGUGUUCAAUGUGGCCAGUCUCCUGCCGGAAGAGCUCAUCACUGUGAAGGCGUUCAUCCACUCAUGCCUGGCGAUCUUAUCAGUUGAAUGCAACCAAUAACCACACUGAUUCCAUGGAAUUGGUACCCUCGAACUGCACUGCAAAGAAUCAUAGAUGUAUUAGUUCAAGAGAGUGGUGGUGGGUGAUGAAGUUGAUAUUGAUGAACCGGGACUCGGCAUUCCAAUGAGCUGUCAUAUCUCACCAGAUGUAAUCAAAAUACUGCAGACGACGAAAUAUGGAGGGGUUCACCGAUCCGCAGUAGUGGUAUACAAUAGGCCUGUUAAUUUUCUACUUGAACUCAAGUGAAGGCAAUAAACACACAGCCAUGAAAGAUCUCUAACUUGAUCUCCAUCUGUAUAUUAUGUGCAGUGAAGAUAUUGAGUUUGUCGCGGUAUCAGACGGGCUCCCGGACGAUCACCCUCGAUUGGCUGAUAUUGUUGCUUUCAGUGUCGCAUUUUCAGAAAGGGGACCUGUAUUUGCAGAGCUGUUAGUCAAAUUGCUUCGCAAGUCUCCAAUCACAUGCGUAAUACGUGAUAUUUCAUCGGGGGUCGUCCAGGAACCAGCCAGAAAAUUGGGCAUUCCAGUGGUGGGUUUCGGAACACCAUCUGCCAUUUCCAUCCAAUGUAGAACCCACAUAGAGACAUUCAUAGAAGCAGGGGUUUUACCGCUCCCACCUCCUCCGAUGAAUACUUCAACUCCAUCCCUCGAUCCAGUC